rnacentral:rRNA from 1 species
CACGUAGGGUGCGAGCGUUGUCCGGAAUUAUUGGGCGUAAAGAGCUCGUAGGCGGUGUGUCGCGUCGGCCGUGAAAACCUGCAGCUUAACUGUGGGCUUGCGGUCGAUACGGGCAUCACUGGAGUUCGGCAGGGGAGACUGGAAUUCCUGGUGUAGCGGUGAAAUGCACAGAUAUCAGGAGGAACACCGGUGGCGAAGGCGGCAUUCUGGACC